rnacentral:rRNA from 1 species
UACAGAGGUCCCAAGCGUUGUUCGGAUUCACUGGGCGUAAAGGGUGCGCAGGUGGGUUUGCAAGUUUGAUGUGAAAGCCCCGGGCUUAACCCGGGAAUGGCAUUGAAUACUGCAGAUCUGGAGGAUUGGAGGGGGGACUGGAAUUCUUGGUGUAGCAGUGAAAUGCGUAGAUAUCAAGAGGAACACCAGUGGCGAAGGCGAGUCCCUGGACAAUACCUGACACUGAGGCACGAAGGCCAGGGGAGCAAACGGG